UGGUCAUGAUGUGGACACUUGCGCAAUACAUCCUUAUAUCUCUCCCAUGCCUAAUAUAUUGAUUCACCCUCAAAUUGGGUGAAUGUAUUGAUAUCAUUCCUUAACUU